rnacentral:rRNA from 1 species
UCGAACGAAGCGAUCGAGAGGAAGUUUUCGGAUGGAAUCCGGAUUGACCGAUUGGCGGACGGGUGAGUAACGCGUGGGUAACCUGCCUCAUACAGGGGGAUAACAGUUAGAAAUGACUGCUAAUACCGCAUAAGCGCACAGGGGCACAUGUUCCGGUGUGAAAAACUCCGGUGGUAUGAGAUGGACCCGCGUCUGAUUAGCUGGUUGGCGGGGUAACGGCCCACCAAGGCGACGAUCAGUAGCCGACCUGAGAGGGUGACCGGCCACAUUGGGACUGAGACACGGCCCAAACUCCUACGGGAGGCAGCAGUGGGGAAUAUUGCACAAUGGGGGAAACCCUGAUGCAGCAACGCCGCGUGAGUGAAGAAGUAUUUCGGUAUGUAAAGCUCUAUCAGCAGGGAAGAAGAUGACGGUACCUGAGUAAGAAGCCCCGGCUAACUACGUGCCAGCAGCCGCGGUAAUACGUAGGGGGCAAGCGUUAUCCGGAUUUACUGGGUGUAAAGGGAGCGUAGACGGUGAGACAAGUCUGAAGUGAAAGCCCGGGGCUCAACCCCGGGACUGCUUUGGAAACUGCCUGACUGGAGUGCUGGAGAGGCAAGCGGAAUUCCUAGUGUAGCGGUGAAAUGCGUAGAUAUUAAGAAGAACACCAGUGGC